CGGAGGGCCCCGUGCCCGCCACCGCCCGCGACUACAAGGCCCGCGGCCUGCCGUGGGUGGUGGUCGGUGACGAGAACUACGGCGAGGGCAGCAGCCGCGAGCACGCCGCGCUGGAGCCCCGCCACCUGGGCGGCGUGGCCAUCAUCGUGAAGUCGUUCGCGCGCAUCCACGAGACUAACCUGAAGAAGCAGGGUAUGCUGCCCGUGACCUUCGCCAACCCCGCCGACUACGACAAGAUUGACCCCACCGACACCAUCUCCAUCGUGGGCCUGAAGACCUUCGCGCCCGGCGUGCCGCUCAAGGUGGUGGGCAAGAAGAAGGACGGCUCGACCUACGAGUUCCCCGUCAACCACACCUUCAACGACAACCAGAUCAGCUGGUUCAAGGCCGG
rnacentral:lncRNA from 1 species